rnacentral:lncRNA from 1 species
GUAGCUUUUCGUGUAGCUAACUACUUUUCUCCAGCAAGUAGCAGUGUAGCGCGACCAAACGCUACAUUACGCUUUGUGUUCAGGCGAGUCACAAGCCUUAAUGCAUUUAAACAGCAGAGCAUCUUUUUCUGACUAGAUCACAAACUAAUUUUUUUCAUUACCGCCAUCUGCUGUGAUAUCACGCAUCGGACGACUUUACACUCUACAGAUCGUCUGAUGAUAUUGCAAAGGAUGUACAGGAGUGGAUAUGUCACAUGAAUCAACUGUAAUGUUUGUAAAACAAAGAUUAAAUGCGGUCUAUGUCGAAGACUUAAAGCACAUACAGGAGGUGAAUAAUAGCCUUUUUAACCCUCAUGUGGUGUUCAGGUCUUUUUUGCCCUGAGAAAAUUUUAUUUUUCCCGAAAAUACUAGUUAAUGUUAUCGCAUUGGACGGAAAUUUAGUGACUUUGUUCACAAAGGGUAUAACUACUUCUAAUUUUUUUUUUUUCUAUCAUUUUCGGACAUUUUGGGGGAGAUUUUUCACCUUGUUACACUUGUGGUGUUCCAGGGAAAAAAUGACCGGGCCUCAAAAAAUUGCUUAUAAAUCAACCAUUAUGCUAUUGUCACACCCCUGGAAUCGUUAUGUCUAGUUUCUUCCUCAUGUGUUCCAUUCCCCAUGUUCUCUGUGACCCAGUUUCUGUCUCCUGUGAUUGUUGAUUAGUUCCCAGAUGUGUCUCCUCAGUCCCUCGUUAGCCUGUCUUUAUAACCCAUGUCCUUUCAGAUUAGUUUUGUUGGGCCUACAAGUCAGUAUGUGUGUCUUCCUCCUGUGGUCCAUGUUGGAUUUACCCGUGUUGGAUUAAUAAAGACUCUCUCGAUUUUUCUCGACUCUGUGUUCCUUCCGGCAGCGUAGCGUGACAGAAGACCCGACCAAACUAAAGUUUAAUUUGCGUGUUUACCCUCCGUUUGUUUUUCAGAUUUCCUCAGUCCUUUUGUUUCUGUUGUGUUUCAUGAAUCCCCUCCUUCACCCCAAAUACCUCCUCCUCCUGCUGGAGCAGGAAGGAUGAUCUUUCGAGGACCAUACGAGGCAGUUGAGUGCGGAGAGGAGAUCCGCCCCCUGCACCA